rnacentral:rRNA from 1 species
UACGAAGGGGGCUAGCGUUGUUCGGAAUCACUGGGCGUAAAGGGCGCGUAGGCGGCCGUUCAAGUCGGGGGUGAAAGCCUGUGGCUCAACCACAGAAUUGCCUUCGAUACUGCAUGGCUUGAGACCGGAAGAGGUAAGUGGAACUGCGAGUGUAGAGGUGAAAUUCGUAGAUAUUCGCAAGAACACCAGUGGCGAAGGCGGCUUACUGGUCCGGUUCUGACGCUGAGGCGCGAAAGCGUGGGGAGCAAACAGG